GAGUUUGAUCGUGGCUCAGGAUGAACGCUGGCGGCGUGCUUAAUACAUGCAAGUCGAACGGACAAAAGGAGCUUGCUCCUUUUGUUAGUGGCGGACGGGUGAGUAACACGUGAGCAACCUGCCCAUAUCUGGGGAAUAACACAGUGAAAAUUGUGCUAAUACCGCAUAAGACCACGACGAGGCAUCUCGUUGCGGUAAAAGAUUUAUCGGAUAUGGAUGGGCUCGCGUCCCAUUAGAUAGUUGGCGGGUAACGGCCCACCAAGUCGACGAUGGGUAGCCGACCUCAGAGGGUGAUCGGCCACAUUGGAACUGAGAAACGGUCCAGACUCCUACGGGAGGCAGCAGUAGGGAAUAUUGGGCAAUGGGCGCAAGCCUGACCCAGCAACGCCGCGUGAAUGAUGA
rnacentral:rRNA from 1 species